CGGUCAGCUCAUUCAUUGCAGGAACCGCGUGGCUAUCUCAUGGGUCGGUGUUGUCCAUGGCGACGGCGGCGGCACCGGCGAUAAUGGCGGUCAACGGUGGUCAGGUACGCGGCGGCUCCACUGCUCCAUUCCCAUUCCCCACUGCCCCCCUGCCGCAAAAUCUUUGUGGCCGGUGUGUUCUGAUCUGCGGUGGCCUGCUUGCCUAUCUUCCAAGAUGUGAUACGCGCCUUGCCGCCGGAUCUCGAUGGAGGGGGCGAGGUGGGUAGCCAGACGGGACGAGGUGGCACCGGAGUCUUCUGUGGCGGCGCUCGUUCAGGGUUGUCAAGAUGGUGGAGCGAUGCGGUAGACGAACAGAAUGUGCCUGCGGAAUUGGGUGAAUCGACUGUGAUGCCGGAUCCAUGAGCGCCACGGCGGAUUAAGAGGUAUUGAAUCCUGCUUGUUGUGUGCUAUUAUUUCUGUGUGGAUUACUCGUGCGUGCUGCUACUAAAAAGAAAACUGAAGAAUGGAAACAGAUGUGUAGAGCGUCGUAUCCGUGAUGAAACAGAGGGGAAAGGAAAACUAAGUUAGCUCAUAGAAUGUUUGUGCACAGGGUGGUGGGCUUGUCCAGUUAAAAAAAAUAGGGCAAACGUUAGCUCCGCAUAAUCAAAGAGUACAUAAAUCUUACCAGUGCUAAAAAUAGUUGCAUGUUGUUCUUUCACAUGCUGAGCCGAAUAUGUAACUGGCAAAACUUAAGUCGCGGGUUUUCCUUUGCUUUUUAGUUUUGGUUGAGACCUUGAAUCUGACUGUUUGAUCAGGCGGUGAAUGGUUUGUAUUGGUUUCGUUUUCUAUAUGAAAAUGGAGCUGGGUACUCCCUUUGAUCAGAAAAAUAUUGCGCAAAAUGACCACAAUUGAGAAAAUUGUUCACUUUUCCUGCUCUGCCUCUGUUAUGAUUUUUGAGCUGAAUGCUUGUGACAUUCUUUUUGAUAGUCUCACAAUUGUCAUGUAUUUUAAAAUCCGGACUGUAGUUUUUGGGAUGCACAAUGGUGUUUUUUGUGCCGAAAAAAGGCGUGUUGUGUCUCAGGAAAUAGAAUGUUGGCUUUGUGCACACAAGCAGGGUCAGGAUGUGUACCAAUCCUACAGAGUGUGCACCAUGCACCAAUAGGAUGGGGGCUCUUGAGAAGUCAAUUAGAGGGUUUGCGGACAAGAGCGAUAAGGAAGUUGUGAAGCCAGGGUUAGGAACAAAUUUUGACUCGUUGACGGAGGUGUAUGACUUCUACAACCUAUAUUCCUGGGAACAUGGUUUUGAAAUCCGAUACGGGGAAAGCAGGCUGAACCCAGAGAAAAAGGAAGACCAUGCAGGAAAUUGUGUGUGCAGAUGCUCGGGGAAGCUAUUGUGAGAGAAUACAAGGUCUUGCCGGUGUGAGUGUCCUAGGCUGCUCCAGACCACAGACAACGGAUGGUACAUAACAGAGCAUCGAGUGAAGCAUAAUUGCGUAAUGGCAAGAAGUUGCGGAGAGAUGGCGCACUGGCCAUCUCACAACCAUAUUGAUGGCGCACUGGCGAGUAUUUGUCAUACUCAAUGCUUUCCUCAAAAUAAUCACUUAAGAACAGAGGAUAGCUUUCCUGUUUGAUGCUAUCCCUUCUAUAAUGACAGAUUAUAUUGAUAAUUGCAAUGGUAUGCAAUGUAACUGCAGGAAAUCUUCUCAGGCAAAUACUGUAAUAGCCACCAAUGGUUUGAUGACAUUGCUUAUUGCAAGACUUGACCAUCGAAAAGUUAUUGCUUGUUUGACUCUGCUGAAACUAAUAAAGGUUGUCUGUGAGCAUCACCCUUGACCAAAGAAGCUCAUAGUGGACAACUACCUUCCCUAGAAGCUACAAAACCUCAUCGAAGAAUGCAGGGAUGGGCAACGCGGCGGUUAACAAGUGCUGGUCAAACAAAUGGCCACCCUGAUGUUGAUGCGUAAAAUAUAAGGCUGGUCGUAAUGAUAGUAUCAUAGUUAGUAUCAUGCAUGCCAACUAGGCAAUUUCGAUGAGGUGUCAUAUCAUUAAAUGAAG